GAUGAACGCUAGCGGCAGGCCUAACACAUGCAAGUCGAGGGAGAAGCCCUUUCGGGGGCAGAAACCGGCGCACGGGUGCGUAACGCGUAUGCAACCUACCUUUCACAGGGGGAUAGCCCGAAGAAAUUUGGAUUAAUACCCCAUAAUAUUAUUGGAUGGCAUCAUUUGAUAAUUAAAACUGCGGUGGUGAAAGAUGGGCAUGCGUCCUAUUAGCUAGUUGGAGUGGUAACGGCACCCCAAGGCUACGAUAGGUAGGGGUCCUGAGAGGGAGAUCCCCCACACGGGUACUGGGACAGGGACCAGACUCCUACGGGAGGCAGCAGUGAGGAAUAUUGGUCAAUGGUCGGAAGACUGAACCAGCCAUGCCGCGUGCAGGAAGAAUGCCUUAUGGGUUGUAAACUGCUUUUAUAUGGGAAGAAUAAGGCGUACGUGUACGUUGAUGACGGUACCAGAUGAAUAAGCAUCGGCUAACUCCGUG
rnacentral:rRNA from 1 species